CUGGCGGCGUGCCUAAUACAUGCAAGUCGAACGGUCUUUCUAUGGAAGCUUGCUUCCACUGAGAAGAUAGUGGCGAACGGGUGAGUAACACGUGGGUAACCUGCCCAUAAGAGGGGGGAGUAACAUCCGGAAACGGGUGCUAAUACCGCAUAGUCUUCUUGAUCGCAUGAUUGAGAAAGGAAAGACGGCCUUUGUGCUGUCGCUUAUGGAUGGACCCGCGGCGUAUUAGUUAGUUGGUGAGGUAACGGCUCACCAAGACGAUGAUACGUAGCCGACCUGAGAGGGUGAUCGGCCACAUUGGGACUGAGACACGGCCCAAACUCCUACGGGAGGCAGCAGUAGGGAAUCUUCCGCAAUGGACGAAAGUCUGACGGAGCAACGCCGCGUGAGUGAAGAAAGGUUUUCGGAUCGUAAAACUCUGUUGUCAGAGAAGAACAAGUUGGAGAGUAACUGCUCCAGCCUUGACGGUAUCUGACCAGAAAGCCACGGCUAACUACGUGCCAGCAGCCGC
rnacentral:rRNA from 1 species